CUGCGUACCUUUUGUAUAAUGGGUCAGCGACUUAUAUUCUGUAGCAAGGUUAACCGAAUAGGGGAGCCGAAGGGAAACCGAGUCUUAACUGGGCGUUAAGUUGCAGGGUAUAGACCCGAAACCCGGUGAUCUAGCCAUGGGCAGGUUGAAGGUUGGGUAACACUAACUGGAGGACCGAACCGACUAAUGUUGAAAAAUUAGCGGAUGACUUGUGGCUGGGGGUGAAAGGCCAAUCAAACCGGGAGAUAGCUGGUUCUCCCCGAAAGCUAUUUAGGUAGCGCCUCGUGAAUUCAUCUCCGGGGGUAGAGCACUGUUUCGGCAAGGGGGUCAUCCCGACUUACCAACCCGAUGCAAACUGCGAAUACCGGAGAAUGUUAUCACGGGAGACACACGGCGGGUGCUAACGUCCGUCGUGAAGAGGGAAACAACCCAGACCGCCAGCUAAGGUCCCAAAGUCAUGGUUAAGUGGGAAACGAUGUGGGAAGGCCCAGACAGCCAGGAUGUUGGCUUAGAAGCAGCCAUCAUUUAAAGAAAGCGUAAUAGCUCACUGGUCGAGUCGGCCUGCGCGGAAGAUGUAACGGGGCUAAACCAUGCACCGAAGCUGCGGCAGCGACGCUGAUGCGUUGUUGGGUAGGGGAGCGUUCUGUAAGCCUGCGAAGGUGUGCUGUGAGGCAUGCUGGAGGUAUCAGAAGUGCGAAUGCUGACAUAAGUAACGAUAAAGCGGGUGAAAAGCCCGCUCGCCGGAAGACCAAGGGUUCCUGUCCAACGUUAAUCGGGGCAGGGUGAGUCG
rnacentral:rRNA from 1 species